UACGGAGGGGGCUAGCGUUGUUCGGAAUUACUGGGCGUAAAGCGCACGUAGGCGGCUUUGUAAGUUAGAGGUGAAAGCCCGGGGCUCAACUCCGGAAUUGCCUUUAAGACUGCAUCGCUAGAAUUGUGGAGAGGUAAGUGGAAUUCCGAGUGUAGAGGUGAAAUUCGUAGAUAUUCGGAAGAACACCAGUGGCGAAGGCGACUUACUGGACACAUAUUGACGCUGAGGUGCGAAAGCGUGGGGAGCAAACGGG
rnacentral:rRNA from 1 species